UGAUGCAGCACGCCGCGUGAGCGAUGAAGGCCUUCGGGUCGUAAAGCUCUGUCCUCAAGGAAGAUAAUGACGGUACUUGAGGAGGAAGCCCCGGCUAACUACGUGCCAGCAGCCGCGGUAAUACGUAGGGGGCUAGCGUUAUCCGGAAUUACUGGGCGUAAAGGGUGCGUAGGUGGUUUUUUAAGUCAGAAGUGAAAGGCUACGGCUCAACCGUAGUAAGCUUUUGAAACUAGAGAACUUGAGUGCAGGAGAGGAGAGUAGAAUUCCUAGUGUAGCGGUGAAAUGCGUAGAUAUUAGGAGGAAUACCAGUAGCGAAGGCGGCUCUCUGGACUGUAACUGACACUGAGGCACGAAAGCGUGGGGAGCAAACAGGAUUAGAUACCCCGGUAG
rnacentral:rRNA from 1 species